UAGAGGGGCACCCCGGGUUUGUGGUUCCCCCGGGGGGGGGGGGGGGGAGAACAAUAAUUGAUGCCCUCGGCCGUCCUUUCCCAAAACGACGGAUUCUGUGACGAUUCUGUGAUUUUUCUGCUUUGCCUGCGCGUGCUUUUGCAACAUCAUACAGCAGCCACGCCACCGUUUAAUAUAAAUAUUUGAUAGUCGUGCACCCGCAGCCUUUCCUCGCCGUGAAAGCCCAGCACGCUGUUUUGGGUCUGGUUUGGGGUUUUUUUCGGACAAGAAGACAUGGAAUCCGGCAGGUGCAGAAGAGAUGUCCUCCGAAAAGAGCCGGGUUACUCUUUUCCCUCCUUGAGACACGAGAGAGAACCAAAAUUCCACGAAAGAGAUCUGGGAAAUCAGUUACGGGAGCACACCGACGUGGCGGAGGCUCGGCUAAUGAACUACAGAAAUAACACACACACAAAAAAAAAAAAAAAAAAAAAAAAAAAAAAAAAAAAANNNNNNNNNNAUCCAAUCAAACGUAACCUCCAACUUCUGGGGAACGCGUCUUCUUCCUGCCAACCCACCCACCGCGAUCACAGCUCCUCACCGCCAUUCCUGCUCGGGAAAACUACUGCCUUUCGAUUUAGACAUCGCAGACAGACCACAGGGAGGGACAAUCACAAGAAGCGAGCAGUGUAUGGCUAG
rnacentral:lncRNA from 1 species